AGAGUUUGAUCCUGGCUCAGAUUGAACGCUGGCGGCAUGCCUUACACAUGCAAGUCGAACGGCAGCAUGAUCUAGCUUGCUAGAUUGAUGGCGAGUGGCGAACGGGUGAGUAAUACAUCGGAACGUGCCCUGUAGUGGGGGAUAACUAGUCGAAAGAUUAGCUAAUACCGCAUACGACCUGAGGGUGAAAGUGGGGGACCGCAAGGCCUCAUGCUAUAGGAGCGGCCGAUGUCUGAUUAGCUAGUUGGUGAGGUAAAGGCUCACCAAGGCGACGAUCAGUAGCUGGUCUGAGAGGACGAUCAGCCACACUGGGACUGAGACACGGCCCAGACUCCUACGGGAGGCAGCAGUGGGGAAUUUUGGACAAUGGGGGCAACCCUGAUCCAGCAAUGCCGCGUGUGUGAAGAAGGCCUUCGGGUUGUAAAGCACUUUUGUCCGGAAAGAAAUCGCACUUACUAAUAUUAGGUGUGGAUGACGGUACCGGAAGAAUAAGGACCGGCUAACUACGUGCCAGCAGCCGCGGUAAUACGUAGGGUCCAAGCGUUAAUCGGAAUUACUGGGCGUAAAGCGUGCGCAGGCGGUUGUGCAAGACCGAUGUGAAAUCCCCGGGCUUAACCUGGGAAUUGCAUUGGUGACUGCACGGCUAGAGUGUGUCAGAGGGGGGUAGAAUUCCACGUGUAGCAGUGAAAUGCGUAGAGAUGUGGAGGAAUACCGAUGGCGAAGGCAGCCCCCUGGGAUAACACUGACGCUCAUGCACGAAAGCGUGGGGAGCAAACAGGAUUAGAUACCCCCGUAGUCC
rnacentral:rRNA from 1 species